ACCCUUUAAUGUUUGAUGUUCUAACGUGGACCCGUUACCCGGGUUGCGGACAGUGUCUGGUGGGUAGUUUGACUGGGGCGGUCUCCUCCUAAAGAGUAACGGAGGAGCACGAAGGUUGGCUAAUCCUGGUCGGACAUCAGGAGGUUAGUGCAAUGGCAUAAGCCAGCUUGACUGCGAGCGUGACGGCGCGAGCAGGUGCGAAAGCAGGUCAUAGUGAUCCGGUGGUUCUGAAUGGAAGGGCCAUCGCUCAACGGAUAAAAGGUACUCCGGGGAUAACAGGCUGAUACCGCCCAAGAGUUCAUAUCGACGGCGGUGUUUGGCACCUCGAUGUCGGCUCAUCACAUCCUGGGGCUGAAGUAGGUCCCAAGGGUAUGGCUGUUCGCCAUUUAAAGUGGUACGCGAGCUGGGUUUAGAACGUCGUGAGACAGUUCGGUCCCUAUCUGCCGUGGGCGCUGGAGAACUGAGGGGGGCUGCUCCUAGUACGAGAGGACCGGAGUGGACGCAUCACUGGUGUUCGGGUUGUCAUGCCAAUGGCACUGCCCGGUAGCUAAAUGCGGAAGAGAUAAGUGCUGAAAGCAUCUAAGCACGAAACUUGCCCCGAGAUGAGUUCUCCCUGAGACUUAGAGUCUCCUGAAGGAACGUUGAAGACGACGACGUUGAUAGGCCGGGUGUGUAAGCGCAGCGAUGCGUUGAGCUAACCGGUACUAAUGAACCGUGAGGCUUAACCUUACAA
rnacentral:rRNA from 1 species